rnacentral:rRNA from 1 species
AGUGAACGCUGGCGGUAGGCCUAACACAUGCAAGUCGAACGGCAGCACAGUAAGAGCUUGCUCUUACGGGUGGCGAGUGGCGGACGGGUGAGGAAUACAUCGGAAUCUACUUUUUCGUGGGGGAUAACGUAGGGAAACUUACGCUAAUACCGCAUACGACCUACGGGUGAAAGCAGGGGAUCUUCGGACCUUGCGCGAUUGAAUGAGCCGAUGUCGGAUUAGCUAGUUGGCGGGGUAAAGGCCCACCAAGGCGACGAUCCGUAGCUGGUCUGAGAGGAUGAUAAGCCACACUGGAACUGAGACGCGGUCCAGACUCCUACGGGAGGCAGCAGUGGGGAAUAUUGGACAAUGGGCGCAAGCCUGAUCCAGCCAUACCGCGUGGGUGAAGAAGGCCUUCGGGUUGUAAAGCCCUUUUGUUGGGAAAGAAAAGCAGCAGGCUAAUACCCCGCUGUUCUGACGGUACCCAAAGAAUAAGCACCGGCUAACUUCGUG